rnacentral:rRNA from 1 species
GCUGGCGGCGUGCCUAACACAUGCAAGUCGCACGAGAAAGGGGAGCAAUCCCUGAGUAAAGUGGCGCACGGGUGAGUAACACGUGACUAACCUACCUCCGAGUGGGGAAUAACUGAGAGAAAUCUUAGCUAAUACCGCAUAACACUUACGAGUCAAAGCAGCAAUGCGCUUGGAGAGGGGGUCGCGGCAGAUUAGUUAGUUGGCGGGGUAAUGGCCCACCAAGACGAUGAUCUGUAUCCGGCCUGAGAGGGCGCACGGACACACUGGAACUGAAACACGGUCCAGACUCCUACGGGAGGCAGCAGUGGGGAAUUUUGCGCAAUGGGGGAAACCCUGACGCAGCAACGCCGCGUGGAGGAUGAAAUAUCUUGGUAUGUAAACUCCUUUCGAUGGGGAAGAUUAUGACGGUACCCAUAGAAGAAGCCCCGGCUAACUUCGUGCCAGCAGCCCGCGGUAAUACGAGGGGGGCAAGCGUUGUUCGGAUUUAUUGGGCGUAAAGGGUGCGUAGGCGGUUUGGCAAGUCUGAUGUGAAAUCUAUGGGCUCAACCCAUAGUCUGCAUCA